GAGAUAUCCCACCCAUAAGGGUAUAAGACCCCUGAAAGACUAUCAGGUUGAUAGGGCAUGAGUGUAAGUGCAGUAAUGCAUUCAGCGGAGUGUCACUAAUAGGUCGAUGGCUUGUCCUG
rnacentral:rRNA from 1 species